rnacentral:rRNA from 1 species
GACGAACGCUGGCGGCGUGCCUAAUACAUGCAAGUCGAACGCAGUUGCGAACGGGUGAGUAACGCGUAGGUAACUGCCUCAUAGCGGGGGAUAACUUAUGGAAACGAUAGCUAAUAACGCAUACUGUGAGAUGGACCUGCGUUGUAUUAGCUAGUUGGUAAGGUAAAGGUUCACCAAGGGGACGAUACAUAGCCGACUUUGGAGGGUGGUCGGCCACACCGGGACCGGGACACGGCCCAGACUCCUUCGGGGGGCAGCAAGUGGGGAACUUCGGAAAAUGACGGAAGGCUGACCGAACAAAGCCGCGUGGUUUGAGAAGGGUUUCGGAUCGUAAAACUCUGUUGUUAGGGAAGCGGUAACUAACCAGAAAGCGCCGGCUAACUACGUGCCAGCAGCCGCGGUAAUAC